rnacentral:rRNA from 1 species
GAUGAACGCUAGCGGGAGGCCUAACACAUGCAAGCCGAGCGGUAUUGUUUCUUCGGAAAUGAGAGAGCGGCGUACGGGUGCGGAACACGUGUGCAACCUGCCUUUAUCUGGGGGAUAGCCUUUCGAAAGGAAGAUUAAUACUCCAUAACAUAUUGAUUGGCAUCAAUUAAUAUUGAAAGCUCCGGCGGAUAGAGAUGGGCACGCGCAAGAUUAGCUAGUUGGUGAGGUAACGGCUCACCAAGGCGAUGAUCUUUAGGGGGCCUGAGAGGGUGAUCCCCCACACUGGUACUGAGACACGGACCAGACUCCUACGGGAGGCAGCAGUGAGGGAUAUUGGUCAAUGGGUGCAAGCCUGAACCAGCCAUCCCGCGUGAAGGACGACUGCCCUAUGGGUUGUAAACUUCUUUUGUAUAGGGAUAAACCUACCCUCGUGAGGGUAGCUGAAGGUACUAUACGAAUAAGCACCGGCUAACUCCGUGCCAGCAGACGCGGUAAUACGGAGGGUGCAAGCGUUAUCCGGAUUUAUUGGGUUUAAAGGGUCCGUAGGCGGACUUAUAAGUCAGUGGUGAAAGCCUGUCGCUUAACGAUAGAACUGCCAUUGAUACUGUAAGUCUUAAGUAUAUUUGAGGUAGCUGGAAUAAGUAGUGUAGCGGUGAAAUGCAUAGAUAUUACUUAGAACACCAAUUGCGAAGGCAGGUUACCAAGAUAUAACUGACGCUGAGGGACGAAAGCGUGGGGAGCGAACAGGAUUAGAUACCCUGGUAGUCCACGCCGUAAACGAUGCUAACUCGUUUUUGGGCUUUAGGGUUCAGAGACCAAGCGAAAGUGAUAAGUUAGCCACCUGGGGAGUACGCUCGCAAGAGUGAAACUCAAAGGAAUUGACGGGGGCCCGCACAAGCGGUGGAUUAUGUGGUUUAAUUCGAUGAUACGCGAGGAACCUUACCAAGACUUAAAUGGGAAUUGACAGCUUUAGAAAUAGAGCUUUCUUCGGACAAUUUUCAAGGUGCUGCAUGGUUGUCGUCAGCUCGUGCCGUGAGGUGUUAGGUUAAGUCCUGCAACGAGCGCAACCCCUGUCACUAGUUGCCAUCAUUCAGUUGGGGACUCUAGUGAGACUGCCUACGCAAGUAGAGAGGAAGGUGGGGAUGACGUCAAAUCAUCACGGCCCUUACGUCUUGGGCCACACACGUAAUACAAUGGCCGGUACGGAGGGCAGCUACACAGCGAUGUGAUGCAAAUCUCGAAAGCCGGUCUCAGUUCGGAUUGGAGUCUGCAACUCGACUCUAUGAAGCUGGAAUCGCUAGUAAUCGCGCAUCAGCCAUGGCGCGGUGAAUACGUUCCCGGGCCU